UAAUACGUAGGGUGCAAGCGUUAAUCGGAAUUACUGGGCGUAAAGCGUGCGCAGGCGGAUAUGUAAGUUAGGAGUGAAAUCCCCGGGCUCAACCUGGGAAUGGCUUUUAAGACUGCGUAUCUAGAGUUUGUCAGAGGGGGGUGGAAUUCCAAGUGUAGCAGUGAAAUGCGUAGAGAUUUGGAGGAACACCAAUGGCGAAGGCAACCCCCUGGGAUAAAACUGACGCUCAUGCACGAAAGCGUGGGUAGCAAACAGG
rnacentral:rRNA from 1 species